AGGGAAGGAAGAAGGUCAGAGGAUUAAGGGAGAACGAGAGAUUUUAUUGAGAGAGGAUGUCUACAACUUGAUGAUUUUCAGAUGAUGAGUAGCUUUUCAAAUACAAGAUCAUUUAAUUGAUCUACACGUCGAAAGGACAAAACUCGGGAAAGCCUAGACCAGCACGUCCUAUGAGGUCAUGGGAAAGCUUAGGCUGUAGAAUGGCAAGGCUAGGAUUUAAUUCUCUGGGAUUAUUAGAAAAACUUACAAUUAUCCUGAGAUUAUGCAACUAUGAGCUGGCACCAUAGUUACCAAGUUCAAAAUUGGACACAGGAAGCAACUGGGAAAGCAGCAAUCGGGACAAUAGUGUUGUGAAGUGGAUGAUGCUUUUUC